ACAGUUGGGGUUCAGCGGUACUUGCAGUCACGUACCGUGGCCUCUGCAAGGCAUCGGUGCAAAAUAAGCACAAUGCAAUUCUUACAGGAUGUCCGAUUCUGCUACAGCUUUGGUCGUACGAGAGGAUAGCAAUUGGUCGCCCGCUUGUCGACCAAUCACCAUAUGAGCUGGAUAUGUACGGUGACACCGAGGACGAUAGGCCCACCAUGGGGACUCUCUGGUACGCUCGUCAGAAGAGAUGGGCCCACAUACAGUCUCGUCAGGCCUAUCCUGAUUUUGUGGCUGAGUUUGAUCGGUUGACACCUGAAGACGUCGUGUGGGAGCCCUACUCCGAGUUGGCUAUAAACACUCGUGCACCGAUCGGGAUAUCUUCGGUUUGCUUUCAGGACCUGGCCUUUUGCAUGACAACUACAGCAUUGGUGUACGACGUUUACAUUGAGGCUCACUGCCCGGACAGAGUCAGGAGACAGUUCGGUCAAAGGCAGUUGUAUCCUGUGCCGUCAGCAUUGGAUCGGGUCGAACGCCAUGACCACAGUUAACAAUUCAUAUACUACUUCAGUGACUAUGCAUUGUAUACUUAACUAAUCAUAUUUGACUAAAUUGUUUUCAAAAUUUAGUUUGUCGAGGACUGGGCAACUCUUCUCCAACAUGUGGGUGACAAGGGUGAAGCCUUGGGUCGAUGGCUGGGACCAGGCAGAGGAGAACGUGGCGCUUGCGACCCCUGCACACACGGAGGCUUCGUACAUGGCGUACCUGAGCUGGUAACAGCCUCAGACUCGUUGCCGCUUGAUAUAUGCUGACAUGCAACCACAGCCGCAUGUUGCGACAGCACAGGAUGGCUACGCACGACAUAGGGAUGAGGCAUUAGCUGGGGCGUUUGAAAUGUGUAGGUUGAUGGACGUAGAUGCCAGGGCGAAUUUGAUGAGGAUUCGAG